rnacentral:misc_RNA from 1 species
GUAAUAUGUGGACACAAUGCAACUACUCUUGAGACUUUAAUUUCAAGAGCAGUGAUAAUAAAUCUUGUAAUUAUGUUGCCUCAUUUGGAUAGUUCAUAGAAGAAAGGGGAGAAAAUCCUCUAUCUUUGAAAUGGGUGCAAGUGUCUCUCUUCAUGCUAUGGAACAUAUUGUUCUUUCAUUAUAAAACUUUAGUUGAUUGCAUGAUUAGAUAAUCACAAAUACACAAGACAGCAAAUAUAGUGAGUGACAUUGGGGAAGGUCCAAUAAAAGUUGGCACUUGAAAAUUCACAGUCCUCUUCUUUGUGCAAUUGUACACGUGUUUUAAAAGUACAAUGUAUUAACAUUUAUGUGAUUUCUCAUCACAUAUUAUUUUUUUAGCCAUGUUUCUG